AAUAAGCGGAGGAAAAGAAACCAACCGGGAUUGCCUUAGUAACGGCGAGUGAAGCGGCAAAAGCUCAAAUUUGAAAUCUGGUACCUUCGGUGCCCGAGUUGUAAUUUGGAGAGGGCAACUUUGGGGCCGUUCCUUGUCUAUGUUCCUUGGAACAGGACGUCAUAGAGGGUGAGAAUCCCGUGUGGCGAGGAGUGCGGUUCUUUGUAAAGUGCCUUCGAAGAGUCGAGUUGUUUGGGAAUGCAGCUCUAAGUGGGUGGUAAAUUCCAUCUAAAGCUAAAUAUUGGCGAGAGACCGAUAGCGAACAAGUACAGUGAUGGAAAGAUGAAAAGAACUUUGAAAAGAGAGUGAAAAAGUACGUGAAAUUGUUGAAAGGGAAGGGCAUUUGAUCAGACAUGGUGUUUUGUGCCCUCUGCUCCUUGUGGGUAGGGGAAUCUCGCAUUUCACUGGGCCAGCAUCAGUUUUGGUGGCAGGAUAAAUCCAUAGGAAUGUAGCUUGCCUCGGUAAGUAUUAUAGCCUGUGGGAAUACUGCCAGCUGGGACUGAGGACUGCGACGUAAGUC
rnacentral:rRNA from 1 species